UACGGAGGGGGCUAGCGUUGUUCGGAAAUACUGGGCGUAAAGCGCACGUAGGCGGCGCAGUAAGUCAGGGGUGAAAUCCCGGGGCUCAACCCCGGAACUGCCCUUGAAACUGCAGUGCUAGAAUUCUGGAGAGGCGAGUGGAAUUCCGAGUGUAGAGGUGAAAUUCGUAGAUAUUCGGAAGAACACCAGUGGCGAAGGCGACUCGCUGGACAGACAUUGACGCUGAGGUGCGAAAGCGUGGGGAGCAAACAGG
rnacentral:rRNA from 1 species